CCUACGGGUGGCAGCAGUGGGGGAUAUUGCACAAUGGGGGAAACCCUGAUGCAGCGACGCCGCGUGAGUGAAGAAGUAUUUCGGUAUGUAAAGCUCUAUCAGCAGGGAAGAAAAAAGACGGUACCUGACCAAGAAGCCCCGGCUAACUACGAGCCAGCAGCCGCGGUAAUACGUAGGGGGCAAGCGUUAACCGGAUUUACUGGGUGUAAAGGGAGCGUAGACGGCAAUACAAGUCGGAAGUGAAAUACCCGGGCUCAACCUGGGAAUCGCUUUGGAAACUGUAUGGCUUGAGUGCUGGAGAGGUAAGCGGAAUGCAUAGUGUAGCGGUGAAAUGCGUAGAUAUUAGGAGGAACACCAGUGGCGAAGGCGGCUUACUGGACAGUAACUGACGUUGAGGCUCGAAAGCGUGGGGAGCAAACAGGAUUAGAUACCCGGGUAGUC
rnacentral:rRNA from 1 species